rnacentral:rRNA from 1 species
GUAGGUGGCAAGCGUUGUCCGGAAUUAUUGGGCGUAAAGCGCGCGCAGGCGGUUUCUUAAGUCUGAUGUGAAAGCCCACGGCUCAACCGUGGAGGGUCAUUGGAAACUGGAGAACUUGAGUACAGAAGAGGAAAGCGGAAUUCCACGUGUAGCGGUGAAAUGCGUAGAGAUGUGGAGGAACACCAGUGGCGAAGGCGGCUUUCUGGUCUGUAACUGACGCUGAGGCGCGAAAGCGUGGGGAGCAAACAGGGAUUAGAUACCCUGGUAGUCCACGCCGUAAACGAUGAGUGCUAAGUGUUAGGGGGUUUCCGCCCCCUUAGUGCUGCAGCUAACGCAUUAAGCACUCCGCCUGGGGAGUACGGCCGCAAGGCUG